rnacentral:lncRNA from 1 species
UGCUCCUAUGUAGGUCGGUGGGGAAAGGGAUGUCAGGCAGCCUCUGUUGGCAAGAACUGUGAUAAUUUGGAAAUGUUGCUCAGGCACUGGGCCGUAAGAUAGGCAUUUGGCAUGAACACACAUGACCAGAUCGAGAUAGCCAUGUAACAGGCAUAAGAGAAAACACCUGACCAGGUGACAGGUAUGAAGAGUACAAUUUUAUGAAGAGGGAUCCUGGAGAAGUAAACUCACUUGAAGAAAGAUAUGAUUUUGACAGUAUCAUGCGCUAUGCCAGGAUCACCUUCUCAAGG